CCUACGGGAGGCAGCAGUGGGGAAUAUUGGACAAUGGGCGCAAGCCUGAUCCAGCCAUGCCGCGUGAGUGAUGAAGGCCUUAGGGUUGUAAAGCUCUUUCAGCUGGGAAGAUAAUGACGGUACCAGCAGAAGAAGCCCCGGCUAACUCCGUGCCAGCAGCCGCGGU
rnacentral:rRNA from 1 species